GAUGAACGCUGGCGGCGUGCCUAAUACAUGCAAGUCGAGCGAACAGAUAAGGAGCUUGCUCCUCUGAUGUUAGCGGCGGACGGGUGAGUAACACGUGGGUAACCUACCUAUAAGACUGGGAUAACUUCGGGAAACCGUAGCUAAUACCGGAUAAUAUUUCGAACCGCAUGGUUCAAAAGUGAAAGAUGGUUUUGCUAUCACUUAUAGAUGGAUCCGCGCUGCAUUAGCUAGUUGGUAAGGUAACGGCUUACCAAGGCAACGAUGCAUAGCCGACCUGAGAGGGUGAUCGGCCACACUGGAACUGAGACACGGUCCAGACUCCUACGGGAGGCAGCAGUAGGGAAUCUUCCGCAAUGGGCGAAAGCCUGACGGAGCAACGCCGCGUGAGUGAUGAAGGUCUUCGGAUCGUAAAACUCUGUUAUUAGGGAAGAACAUAUGUGUAAGUAACUGUGCACAUCUUGACGGUACCUAAUCAGAAAGCCACGGCUAACUACGUG
rnacentral:rRNA from 1 species